UACGAAGGGGGCUAGCGUUGAUCGGAAUUACUGGGCGUAAAGGGCGCGUAGGCGGACAGUUAAGUUGGGGGUGAAAGCCCGGGGCUCAACCUCGGAAUUGCCUUCAAUACUGGCUGUCUUGAGUGUGAGAGAGGUGUGUGGAACUCCGAGUGUAGAGGUGAAAUUCGUAGAUAUUCGGAAGAACACCAGUGGCGAAGGCGACACACCGGCUCACUACUGACGCUGAGGCGCGAAAGCGUGGGGAGCAAACAGG
rnacentral:rRNA from 1 species